GACGAACGCUGGCGGCGUGCUUAACACAUGCAAGUCGAACGGAAAGGCCCUGCUUUUGUGGGGUGAUCGAGUGGCGAACGGGUGAGUAACACGUGAGUAACCUGCCCUUGACUUUGGGAUAACUUCAGGAACUGGGGCUAACACCGGAAAGGCACACCUGCUGCAUGUGGGGGGAUGGGAACUUUCGGCCGUUGGGGAUGGACUCGGGGCUUAUCGGCUUGUUGGUGGGGUAGGGGCUUACCCAGGCUUGGACGGGUAGCCGGCCUGAGAGGGUGACCGGCCACAUUGGUACUGCGAGACGGCCCAGACGCCUACGGGAGGCAGCAGUGGGGAAUAUUGCCCAAUGGGCGGAAGCCUGAUGCAGCAACGCCGCGUGCGGGAUGACGUCCUUCUGGUUGUAAACCGCUUUCGCCUGUGACGAAGCGGGAGUGACGGUAAUGGGUAAAGAAGCACCGGCUAACUACGUG
rnacentral:rRNA from 1 species